AACCUUUAACGGUGGAUGACUCGGUUCUCGUGUCGAUGAAGAACGUAGCAAACUGCGAUAAGUGAUGGAAAUUGCAGGAUACUUCGACUCAUCGAAUCUUUGAACGCACACUGCGCCUGGGGGUCCCCCCUCAGGCGUGCUUGCUUGAGCUCGGUUCCAUUCAAAUAACGAUCUUCCCCUUCGGGGGUAAGGAGUAUGAGAGGUUUUCACCCAACCGAGGUGAUCUCUUUAAAUUUUCAGAUAGGUGAGUGGUUAAUUCCUUGAUAGAACCUCCUGAGUCGCUAAACCCUUUUUAGCUGCUUUGCUCGACGGUUAAGAGGCUUUAACUUUAUCUCUUCCUACUAUCAAGAGUCUUGGGGGUCUCCCCUCAAGUAAACCCUUUUUUAAAUCACUGACUCAAGUCAAGCACGAUGACCCGCUGAAUUUAAGCAUAUAAUUAGGCGGAGGAAAAGAAAACAACAGUGAUUCCCUCAGUAAUGGCGAAUGAACAGGGAAAAGCUCAUCCUGAACCUGUGGGGACUAGUCUCCUCACCGGAAUGUAGGGUAUCGACCGGCCUUAGUAGGUCUUUGUCUCCGACAGAAGUCCCUUGGAAAAGGGCGCCACAGAGGGUGAAAGCCCCGUACGUCAUUUAGGGGAUGAGGGUCUACGACCUUAGGUUGGAUCGUAGAGUCGAGUUGUUUGGGAGUACAACUCUAAUUGGGUGAUAAACUUCACCUAAAGCUAAAUACCGACGAGAAACCGAUAGCGAACAAGUACCGCGAGGGAAAGUUGAAAAGAACUUUGAAAAGAGAGUUAAAUAGUACCUGAAACCGUUAGGGGGUAAGCGGUCGGCACCAUCGACUAAUUAAUGCCGUUAGCUAUUCAGCCUCUGUCAGUGUAGAGUGGGAUAUCGGGAGCGGAUCUUCGGAUUCGCCUCAGGUGUUCUGCUCGAAGCUGCUGGGGGUGUAUUUGGUUAGCGGAUAGACUCAGGGUCUUCUAUGAGCGAGGGAAGCCUGGAAUAAGGUCUCCUCGGGGAGGUAUACGGUCGCUGAUCGUAGAAACCCGGGGGUACUUACCUACCUUGCUGCGUGGAAGAGGUCUCCGAAAGGAGAGUGACCGGGGGACUUCUUGGCUCGGGGUACGCCAGUAAUGGCUGCGAUCCCAGUCCGGAACCCGGUCUCGAUCUCUGAGAAGAUGGAAUCGACCGUCCCGUCUUGAAACACGGACCAAGGAGUGCACCUGAUGGGCAAGUUUUAGGGUGAUUAAAACCCGAGGGCGUAAUGAAAGUAAACACACAUCUGAAGCCUCGUUAAAGGGGAACUGCAAGAUGGACCCACAGAGUCUUACGAGGCUUUGUUGGAGUAAGAGCCUAUCGUGUGCGACCCGAAAGGUGGCGAACUAUGCCUGUGUAGAACGAAGCCAGAAGAAAUUCUGGUGGAAGUUCGUAGCGGUAUUGACGUGCAAAUCAUUCGUCAAACAUGGGUAUAGCGGCGAAAGACUAAUCGAGCCGCCUAGUAGCUGGUUCCUUC
rnacentral:misc_RNA from 1 species